rnacentral:rRNA from 1 species
GAUGAACGCUGGCGGCGUGCCUAAUACAUGCAAGUCGAGCGAACGGACGAGAAGCUUGCUUCUCUGAUGUUAGCGGCGGACGGGUGAGUAACACGUGGAUAACCUACCUAUAAGACUGGGAUAACUUCGGGAAACCGGAGCUAAUACCGGAUAAUAUUUUGAACCGCAUGGUUCAAAAGUGAAAGACGGUCUUGCUGUCACUUAUAGAUGGAUCCGCGCUGCAUUAGCUAGUUGGUAAGGUAACGGCUUACCAAGGCAACGAUGCAUAGCCGGCCUGAGAGGGUGAUCGGCCACACUGGAACUGAGACACGGUCCAGACUCCUACGGGAGGCGGCAGUAGGGAAUCUUCCGCAAUGGGCGAAAGCCUGACGGAGCAACGCCGCGUGAGUGAUGAAGGUCUUCGGAUCGUAAAACUCUAUUAUUAGGGAAGAACAUAUGUGUAAGUAACUGUGCACAUCUUGACGGUACCUAAUCAGAAAGCCACGGCUAACUACGUG